rnacentral:rRNA from 1 species
UUCCGGUUGAUCCCGCCGGACCCUACUGCUAUCGGGGUGGGACUAAGACAUGCGAGUUGAGCGUCUCUAAGCCAUGGUAGAGACGCGGCGUACGGCUCAGUAACACGUGGCUAACCUACCCUUAGGACGGGGACAACCCCGGGAAACUGGGGCUAAUACCCGAUAGGCGAGGAGGCCUGGAAUGGUUCUUAGUCGAAAAGGCGUUGAAACCAUGCUUUUCGACGUUGCCUAAGGAUGGGGCCGCGCCCGAUCAGGUUGUUGGUGGGGUAACGGCUCACCAAGCCUAUAACCGGUACGGGCCGUGAGAGCGGGAGCCCGGAGAUGGGCACUGAGACAAGGGCCCAGGCCCUACGGGGCGCAGCAGUCGCGAAAACUCCGCAAUGCGCGAAAGCGUGACGGGGCUACCCCGAGUGCCGUCCGCUGAGGAUGGCUUUUCCCCGGUGUAAUGAGCCGGGGGAAUAAGGAGAGGGCAAGUCUGGUGUCAGCCGCCGCGGUAAUACCAGCUCUCCGAGUGGUAGGGAUGAUUAUUGGGCUUAAAGCGUCCGUAGCCGGCUUAGCAAGUCUCCUGUUAAAUUCAGCGACCUAAUCGUUGAGCCGCGGGAGAUACUACUAGGCUAGGAGGCGGGAGAGGCCGACGGUAUUCUCGGGGUAGGGGUGAAAUCCUAUAAUCCCGGGAGGACCACCAGUGGCGAAGGCUGUCGGCUAGAACGCGCUCGACGGUGAGGGACGAAAGCUGGGGGAGCGAACCGGAUUAGAUACCCGGGUAGUCCCAGCUGUAAACGAUGCGGGCUAGGUGCUGGGGUGGCUACGAGCCACUUCAGUGCCGCAGGGAAGCCAUUAAGCCCGCCGCCUGGGGAGUACGGCCGCAAGGCUGAAACUUAAAGGAAUUGGCGGGGGAGCACCACAAGGCGUGAAGCUUGCGGUUCAAUUGGAUUCAACGCCGGG